rnacentral:tRNA from 1 species
GCUGAGAAAAACUUUGUGAAAAGUUUUUCUCCUUUAUCCGGGGGACUAUGUCAGCUGAGG